rnacentral:rRNA from 1 species
GACGAACGCUGGCGGCGUGCUUAACACAUGCAAGUCGAACGGAAAGGCCUGCCUUCCCUUGUGGAUUGCGGGUACUCGAGUGGCGAACGGGUGAGUAACACGUGAGUGAUCUGCCCCCAACUUGGGUAUAAGCCUGGGAAACUGGGUCUAAUUCCCGAUAGGACUGCAGGGUGGUGCCUGUGGUGGAAAACGAUUUUCUAGUGGUUGGGGAUGAGCUCGCGGCCUAUCAGCUUGUUGGUGGGGUAAUGGCCUACCAAGGCGGCGACGGGUAGCCGGCCUGAGAGGGUGGACGGCCACAUUGGGACUGAGAUACGGCCCAGACUCCUACGGGAGGCAGCAGUGGGGAAGAUUGCACAAUGGGCGGAAGCCUGAUGCAGCGACGCCGCGUGGGGGAUGACGGCCUUCGGGUUGUAAACUCCUUUCGACCGCGAGGAAGCCACCUGGUUGGAAGGGUGGUGACGGUAGUGGUAGAAGAAGCACCGGCUAACUACGU